ensembl:lncRNA
UCCCUUAGAGGGAACAAGAGGAGUGUAGCAGAUGCAUCCAUAGAAAAGGUCUGAGAGACCCCAGAAUCUCUAGUGGGACUUACUGAGGAAGGUCUGUCUCUUGCAAUGCUAGAAAGUAGACUGUCAUAGGUGACUACUUUUGCAAAUGCAAACAAAGAAACAGAACCCUUCAAAGAACACAAAGAAUCAAUGAAUUAUGGUAUUACAAAAGGAACAAUAGAAAGCUCUGGUGGCUGACCCAAAAGAAAGAGAAAUCUACACACUGCCUGACAAAACAGAAAAUAAUCAUUUUAAAGAAGCUUAGUGAGUUACAAGGGAACAGAUAGACAACAAAGUGAUAUCAGAAAAACACUACACGAACAAAAUGGAAAGUUCAACAAAGGGACAGAAACCAUAAACAUAAGCCAACAGAAAUUCUAUACAAUACCUGGCUGAAAAAUUCAGUGGAAAUCCUCAACAGCUGACUCUAUCAAGUGAAAAUAAAACAAUUUGACAGCUGACCUGUGAAAACCUGUACAGACUGCUUUUCAAAAUGAGUCCCCAAUCCCAUUCCUCCUCAAUGGGCAGGACCUCCCAACCAGGGUCUCCAGCCACCCUGCCAGUGCUUUCUGGCCAACAGAGAUUUGAAACCUCUCUAGGAUGGAGCUCCCAGAAGGACAGUGUGGCUGCCAUCUUUGUUGUUUGGGUGACUUAGCUGUUCUGGCCUUCAGAUUUUGGAGAGUCCAAGGCAAUCAGGGGCUGAAGUGGACCCCGAGCACAGCACAGCUGCCCUACGAAAAUGUGGCCAGACUGUUUUUUAACAAGGACCCUGAUCCUGUUCCUCCUCACUAGACAGGGCCUCCCAACCAGGAUCUCCAGCCACCUCCUACAAGUGUGUGUGGGCCAGCAACAGGUCCAUACUUCUCUGGGACAGAGCUCCCAGAGGGAUGGGCAGGCUGCCAUCUUUGCUGUUUUGUAGCCUUCAGUGGUGAUACCUCCAGGUACUAGAAAAUCUGAGGUGACUACAGACUGGAGUGUGCCCCCAGCAUACUUCAACAGCCCUAUGGGAAAGUGGCCAGACUGUAACAUGGGUGCCCAUUCCCAUAUCUCCUCAUCAGGCAUGUCCUUCAGCCCUCAGCCUCCAGCAACCACACCCAACCCCAGAGCUAUCAAGCCAGUAGCAACUUGGCAACUCUCUGGACAGAGUCUCCAGGGGCAAUUGAAAGCCUCUCUGCCACUGCCUCUGCAGUAGAACUGCCUUUGCUACCCUUGGACUAACAAACAAGUAAAGACCCUAAGUGCUUUAGUCACACCUCCAAUAAGCUGCAGUUGACCUAAGGAGAGGAGGCCAGUCCAUCUCCCAUGAGUCCCACACACCCCUCACUGCUCAUCUUAAGAGAGGGAACUCCUGGCUUGGGUCCACAGUACAGAACCUUCAUCCUGAGCUGAUUGCACUCAGCAACUGCUCACCUGCAUCUCUCUGGGGUGGAACCACUAGGAGACAAGCAGAAGACCCUUGGCCACAACCACUACUAAGAUCCCUUCUUCUGCUCCUUUCAAGUUGGGGAAGGAACAUAAAAACUGAGAUCACCCCAGAGCUGUAGUGGAAAGCCCAAAAAUGCCAAGCCAUGAUCUACAGCCAGAAUCACUCAAGGGGGAGAGAAACCCACACCCUCAGAGCAUUGAGAAGGAACACAGUUGCAAUUGUGAGGAAACACAGCGGAGACACAUAACCAAGUAAGAGUGUACCAACUGACCAAUAAGCCUAAGUGCCACCUAUUGGAUCACACCCUAAAGCUUCAACACCAAAAACACCUCACUAACAUACCCCCCUGAAACCAGAGACACUACAAAUAAAGACCAUGCACAAAGCCAUGGCCCAAUGAAAACAUCCAGAAAAGAAGUCUAUUGGCUGUACUCAAUGUACACUGCAGUUAAAGGAACACCCACAUUCAGAGAUGAGAAAGAACCAACGCAAGAACUCCAGUUACUCAAAUGGCCAGAGCGUUGUAUGAGUUUAGUAAUUCUAGACAUUGUUUGUGAUUGAAACAAGAUUGAGGAGUCAACCUUGUCCUCCAAACAACUGCACCAGUUCACCACCAACAGUUCUUAACCGGGAUGAACUGGCUGGAAUUACAGAAAUAGAAUUCAGAUUAUGGAUAGGAAUUAAGAUAAUCGAGAUUCAGGAGGAUGGAAAAACCCAAUCCAAAAAAUAAAAAAUAAAAA